CCAGCUCCAAUAGCGUAUAUUAAAGUUGUUGCAGUUAAAAAGCUCGUAGUUGAAAAUCUGAUUGUUCAGGCCUUCAGCCUUUAGGCGAGGGCUCUGGCAGUCAUCCGCUUGCAAACAUAUGUUCGAUCUUAACCGAUUGGCUAUGUGAGUAAGCAUUUUACCUUGAGAAAAACAGAGUGUUCCAGGCAGGUUUGUCCGGAAUGCAUUAGCAUGGAAUAAUAGAACAUGACUGAAGUCUAUUUAUUGGUUAAAGGCUUUAGUAAUGAUUAAUAGGAACAGUCGGGGGCAUUCGUACUCAGCAGUCAGAGGUGAAAUUCUAAGAUUUGCUGAAGACGAACUAAUGCGAAAGCAUUUGCCAAGGAUGUUUUCA
rnacentral:rRNA from 1 species